UUGCAUUUUCAAGUAUGUAGUGAUAUAAUUAUAUUGAUAUUGUAUAGGGGAAGUUUAAAAAACGCAGUCGCCGCUGCCGUUGGCGCACACUAAGUAAACACUUAUGUCACUGUUAUUCGUUUAAUAAUGGGAAGGCGUUUACAAGGGCUUAAAACGCUAGCCGGAAAACCUUACUUUAUCAAGAAAUACCUU
rnacentral:ncRNA from 2 species